GAUAAAUUAAAAUCCCAUUUGAUAUAGCUUAACCAUACACAAAGGACCGCAAAUAAUUGCCCUAUAUUCCGCAAAGGUUACGAUAAAGUUUUAAAUUUGAUACAGUCCUAGGGGUUACAUGAGGAAUCAUUUGUAGAAAAUAUGUAUCAGGUUGGUCUACAUUGUUAUAUAUCCCCUUUCAAAUUCCUCAAAUGGUGGUAAUUUGAGAUUUUAAAAAGAAGAACAAAUUCUUUCAAUUAAUUAUAAGUAUAGGACCAUGACUCAGUUACUUCCUGAAAGACCUCUUCGCGGAAAUGUUUCAAUGUCAAUGUUUCGGAGUAGCGCGCAUAUAAAAGUACCUCCUGAUUUUACCUUUUUCGAGGGUGUUGAUUAUAUUUUAGAAUCGAUUUCACAUAAAAUGUGUGUUUAGGCUAUUUUAGGGGUAGAGAACCAUCUUACAUGGGCCUAUUAUAAACAGUUAAUGUAUACUUUUUAAUAUAUAUGCUAUAUUAUUUAGGUUUUUAACUAUCAAACUAAAACCUCUUACUGAAAAAUAGGAUCAGGUUUUUUGAAAUACGUAUUUAUUUCUAUUUAAUCGAGUUAUCAUCACUUAUGUGAGCACGAUUUGUGAAUUAUUCAGGCAUGUCACAGAAAUUAAUUCCGUUCGGAAGUGGAAUUAAUUCCGUAUUUAGCUUCUCCAGAAAACGAAAAACGAAUUUUUUUUCGGAAUGGAACCACUUUUGAUUUUGAAAGUGGAAUUGCUUUUAUUUGAGAACUUGUCACUUUUAAAUAUUCUGAAAUUGCUUUAAAGUAAUAAAAAUCUUGCUUUUAAUAAUAAAUUCACAUUAAAAUUCACAUUUUUGGGCUUUUUAUUUCAAAAAUUUGUAAUUUUUAGUUACAAAUAGAUAUUUAGCAAUAAAUGAAACCACUUUUUAACAAAGUGUUGCCACAUGUUUUUUCUUUAAAACAACCACCCUUUUUUUUAAUAAUUUGAAGGAAUUUUACAAUCUGGCACUACGAAUGAUAUACUAAAGCAAAAGUAGAAAAAAGAAAAACAAACCAAAAGUUGUCAAAGCAUACAAGAUGGGAAAACACAGAAGUUCGGAGCAGGAAAUUUUUUUUAUAGAUUUUAUGGAGAGCCACCAGGACAUAGCCAUAGGAUAUGUGAAAGGUGAUAGAGUUGUUGCUGAAGCAUAUUGGUCACAACUUACCGAAAAACUGAAUUCUUCAGGACCACCCACCAAGGAUUGCAAUGGCUGGAAAAAGGACGUGGGCAGACUGGAAAGUAAGCCUCAAUCACAGAAACAAUAGAAACUCCCGGCAUUUUUUAAACAAAUAUUGUGUUUUUCACUGGGAUUUAAAGAAAUAAGAUUACUUUAAAAUGCAACAUA